rnacentral:rRNA from 1 species
GACGAACGCUGGCGGCGUGCUUAACACAUGCAAGUCGAACGGAAAGGCCCUGCUUUUGUGGGGUGCUCGAGUGGCGAACGGGUGAGUAACACGUGAGUAACCUGCCCUUGACUUUGGGAUAACUUCAGGAAACUGGGGCUAAUACCUGAUAGGAGCUCCUGCUGCAUGGUGGGGGUUGGAAAGUUUCGGCGGUUGGGGAUGGACUCGCGGCUUAUCAGCUUGUUGGUGGGGUAGUGGCUUACCAAGGCUUUGACGGGUAGCCGGCCUGAGAGGGUGACCGGCCACAUUGGGACUGAGAUACGGCCCAGACUCCUACGGGAGGCAGCAGUGGGGAAUAUUGCACAAUGGGCGGAAGCCUGAUGCAGCAACGCCGCGUGCGGGAUGACGGCCUUCGGGUUGUAAACCGCUUUCGCCUGAGACGAAGCGUGAGUGACGGUAAUGGGUAAAGAAGCACCGGCUAACUACGUG